rnacentral:rRNA from 1 species
GGGCCCGCACAAGCAGUGGAUUAUGUGGUUUAAUUCGAAGCAACGCGAAGAACCUUACCAGGUCUUGACAUCCCGUGCAUAACUAAGAGAUUAGUGAAGUCCUUCGGGACACGGUGACAGGUGGUGCAUGGUUGUCGUCAGCUCGUGUCGUGAGAUGUUGGGUUAAGUCCCGCAACGAGCGCAACCCUUAUUAUUAGUUGCUACGCAAGAGCACUCUAGUGAGACUGCCGUUGACAAAACGGAGGAAGGUGGGGAGUGACGUCAAAUCAUCAUGCCCUUUAUGACCUGGGCUACACACGUAAUACAAUGGCACUUAACAAUGGGCUGCGAAACCGCGAGGUGGAGCGAAUCCCCAAAAAGUGUCUCAGUUCGGAUCGCAGGCUGCAACUCGCCUGCGUGAAGUCGGAAUUGCUAGUAAUCGCGGAUCAGCAUGCCG